GACGAACGCUGGCGGCGUGCUUAACACAUGCAAGUCGAACGGAAAGGCCCUGCUUUUGUGGGGUGCUCGAGUGGCGAACGGGUGAGUAACACGUGAGUAACCUGCCCUUGACUGUGGGAGAACUUCAGGAAACUGGGGCGAAUACCGGAUAGGAGCUCCUGCUGCAUGGGGGGGGUUGGAAAGUGUCGGCGGUGGGGGAUGGACUCGCGGCUUAUCGGCUUGAUGGUGGGGUAGGGGCUUACCAAGGCUUUGACGGGUAGCCGGCCUGAGAGGGUGACCGGCCACCUUGGGACUGAGAUACGGCCCAGUCUCCUACGGGAGGCAGCAGUGGGGAAUCUUGCACAAUGGGCGGACGCCUGAUGCAGCGACGCCGCGUGCGGGAUGCCCGCCUUCGGGUUGUAAACCGCUUUCGCCUGUGACGAAGCGUGAGUGACGGUAAUGGGUCAAGAAGCACCGGCUAACUACGUG
rnacentral:rRNA from 1 species